UUUCACUAUUAUUUAUAUUCCCCAAAUGAAUGAGAACAUAUAAUGUUUGUCCUUCUCCGAUUGACUUACUUUACUCAGCAUAAUACCCUCCAGUUCCAUCCACGUUGAAGCAAAUGGUGGAUAUUUGUCGUUUCUAAUGGCUGAGGAAUAUUCCAUUGUAUACAUAAACCACAUCUUCUUUAUCCAUUCAUCUUACGAUGGACACCGAGGCUCCUUCCACAGUUUGGCUAUUGUGGCCAUUGCUGCUAUAAACAUCGGGGUGCAGAUGUCCCUGCGUUUCAUUGCAUCUGUAUCUUUGGGGUAAAUCCCCAACAGUGCAAUUGCUGGGUGGUAGGGCAGAUCUAUUUUUAACUCUUCAAGAAACCUCUACACAGUUUUCCAGAGUGGCUGCACCAGUUCACAUUCCCACCAACAGGGUAAGAGGGUUCCCUUUUCUCCGCAUCCUCUCCAACAUUUGUGGUUUCCUGCCUUGUUAAUUUUCCCCAUUCUCACUGGUGUGAGGUGGUAUCUCAUUGUGGUUUUGAUUUGUAUUUCCCUGAUGGCAAGUGAUGCAGAGCAUUUUCUCAUGUGCUUGUUGGCCAUGUCUAUGUCUUCCUCUGUGAGAUUUCUCUUCAUGUCUUUUGCCCAUUUCAUGAUUGGAUUGUUUAUUUCUUUGGUGUUGAGUUUAAUAAGUUCUUUAUAGAUCUUGGAAACUAACCCUUUAUCUGAUAUGUCAUUUGCAAAUAUCUUCUCCCAUUCUGUAGGUUGUCUUUGAGUUUUGUUGACUGUAUCCUUUGCUGUGCAAAAGCUUCUUAUUUUGAUGAAGUUCCAAUAAUUCAUUUUUGCUUUUGUUUCUCUUGCCUUCGUGGAUGUAUCUUGCAAGAAGUUACUGUGGCUGAGUUCAAAAAGGGUGUUGCCUGUGUUCUCCUCUAGGAUUUUGAUGGAAUCUUGUCUCACAUUUAGAUCUUUCAUCCAUUUUGAGUUUAUCUUUGUGUAUGGUGCAAGACAGUGGUCUAGUUUCAUUCUUCUGCACGUGGAUGUCCAAUUUUCCCAGCACCAUUUAUUGAAGAGACUGUCUUUCUUCCAAUGGAUAGUCUUUCCUCCUUUGUCGAAUAUUAGUUGACCAUAAAGUUCAGGGUCCACUUCUGGGUUCUCUAUUCUGUUCCAUUGAUCUAUGUGUCUGUUUUUGUGCCAGUACCACACUGUCUUGAUGACCACAGCUUUGUAGUACAACCUGAAAUCUGGCAUUGUGAUGCCCCCAGAUACGGUUUUCUUUUUUAAAAUGCCCCUGGCUAUUCGAGGUCUUUUCUGAUUCCACACAAAACUUAAAAUAAUUUGUUCUAACUCUGAAGAAAGUCCAUGGUAUUUUGAUAGGGAUUGCAUUAAACGUGUCAAUUGCCCUGGGUAACAUUGACAUUUUCACAAUAUUAAUUCUGCCAAUCCAUGAGCAUGGAAUAUUUUUCCAUCUCUUUGUGUCUUCCUCAAUUUCUUUCAGAAGUGUUCUAUAGUUUUUAGGGUAUAGAUCCUUUACCUCUUUGGUUAGGUUUAUUCCUAGGUAUCUUAUGCUUUUGGGUGCAAUUGUAAAUGGGAUUGACUCCUUAAUUUCUCUUUCCUCAACUUCAUUGUUAGUGUAUAGAAAUGCCACUGAUUUCUGAGCAUUGAUUUUGUAUCCUGCCACGCUACCAAAUUGCUGUAUUAGUUCUAGCAAUCUUGGGGUGGAGGCUUUUGGGUUUUCUAUGUAGAGUAUCAUGUCAUCGGUGAAGAGGGAGAGUUUGACUUCUUCUUUGCCAAUUUGAAUGUCUUUAAUGUCUUUUUGUUGUCUGAUUGCUGAGGCUAGGACUUCCAGUACUAUGUUGAAUAGCAGUGCUGAGAGUGGACAUCCCUGUCUUGUUCCUGAUCUUAGGGGAAAGGCUCCCAGUGUUUCCCCAUUGAGAAUGAUAUUUGCUGUGGGCUUUUCGUAGAUGGCUUUUAAGAUGCUGAGGAAUGUUCCCUCUAUCCCUACACUCUGAAGAGUUUUGAUCAGGAAUGGAUGCUGUAUUUUGUCAAAUGCUUUCUCUGCAUCUAAUGAGAGGAUCAUAUGGUUCUUGGUUUUUCUCUUGCUGAUAUGAUGAAUCACAUUGAUUGUUUUACGGGUGUUGAACCAGCCUUGCAUCCCGGGGAUAAAUCCUACUUGGUCGUGGUGAAUAAUUUUCUUAAUGUGCUGUUGGAUCCUAUUGGCUAGUAUCUUGUUGAGAAUUUUUGCAUCCAUGUUCAUCAGGGAUAUUGGCCUGUAAUUCUCCUUUUUGGUGGGGUCUUUGUCUGGUUUUGUAAUUAAGGUGAUGCUGGCCUCAUAGAACGAAUCUGGAAGUACUCCAUCUCUUUCUAUCUUUCCAAACAGCUUUAGUAGAAUAGGUAUGGUUUCUUCUUUAAACGUUUGAUAGAAUUCCCCUGGGAAGCCAUCUGGCCCUGGACUUUUGUGUCUUGGGAGGUUUUUGAUGACUGCUUCAAUUUCCUCCCUGGUUA
rnacentral:lncRNA from 1 species